rnacentral:rRNA from 1 species
GACGGACGCUGGCGGCGUGCUUAACACAUGCAAGUCGAACGGUGAAGCGCCUUCCUUUUUGGUGGGUGUGGAUGAGUGGCGAACGGGUGAGUAACACGUGAGUAACCUGCCCCCUUCUUCUGGAUAACCGCAUGAAAGUGUGGCUAAUACGGGAUAUUCUGGGUCUGUCGCAUGAUGGGUCUGGGAAAGAUAUUGUUUCGGUGGGGGAUGGGCUCGCGGCCUAUCAGCUUGUUGGUGGGGUGAUGGCCUACCAAGGCGGUGACGGGUAGCCGGCCUGAGAGGGUGGACGGUCACACUGGGACUGAGACACGGCCCAGACUCCUACGGGAGGCAGCAGUGGGGAAUAGUGCACAAUGGGCGCAAGCCUGAUGCAGCGACGCCGCGUGAGGGAUGGAGGCCUUCGGGUUGUGAACCUCUUUCGCCAGUGAAGCAGGCCUGCCUCGUUUGUGGGUGGGUUGACGGUAGCUGGAUAAGAAGCGCCGGCUAACUACGUG